rnacentral:rRNA from 1 species
AUUGAACGCUGGCGGCAGGCCUAACACAUGCAAGUCGAACGAGUGGCGGACGGGUGAGUAAUGUCUGGGAAACUGCCCGAUGGAGGGGGAUAACUACUGGAAACGGUAGCUAAUACCGCAUACCAUCGGAUGUGCCCAGAUGGGAUUAGCUAGUAGGUGGGAUAAUGGCUCACCUAGGCGACGAGCCCUAGCUGGGCUGAGGGGAUGACCAGCCACACUGGAACGGAGACACGGGCCAGACUCCUACGGGAGGACGAAGUGGGGAACAUUGCACAAUGGGCGUAAGGCUGAUGGAGCCAUGCGGGGUGUAUGAAGAAGGCCUUCGGGUUGUAAAGUACUUUCAGCGGGGAGGCGUUACCCGCAGAAGAAGAACCGGCUAACCCCGGGCCAGCAGCCGCGGUAAUU